rnacentral:rRNA from 1 species
AUUGAACGCUGGCGGCAUGCCUUACACAUGCAAGUCGAACGGCAGCACGGGAGCUUGCUCCUGGUGGCGAGUGGCGAACGGGUGAGUAAUACAUCGGAACGUACCCAGUAGUGGGGGAUAACGCACCGAAAGGUGCGCUAAUACCGCAUACGACCUACGGGUGAAAGCGGGGGACCGUAAGGCCUCGCGCUAUUGGAGCGGCCGAUGUCUGAUUAGCUAGUUGGCGGGGUAAAAGCCCACCAAGGCGACGAUCAGUAGCUGGUCUGAGAGGACGAUCAGCCACACUGGGACUGAGACACGGCCCAGACUCCUACGGGAGGCAGCAGUGGGGAAUUUUGGACAAUGGGGGCAACCCUGAUCCAGCAAUGCCGCGUGUGCGAAGAAGGCCUUCGGGUUGUAAAGCACUUUUGUCAGGGAAGAAAUCUUUCAGGCUAAUACCCUUGGAAGGAUGACGGUACCUGAAGAAUAAGCACCGGCUAACUACGUGCCAGCAGUCGCCGUAACAC